UACAGAGGCCCCGAGCGUUAAUCGGAAUCACUGGGCUUAAAGGGUGCGUAGGCGGGCCAGUAAGCGCUUUGUGAAAUCCCACGGCUCAACCGUGGAACCGCAGGGCGAACUGCUGGUCUUGAGGAAGCUAGAGGCGGGUAGAACGAUAGGUGGAGCGGUGGAAUGCGUAGAGAUCUAUCGGAAUGCCGAAAGUGAAGACAGCCCGCUGGGGCUUUCCUGACGCUAAAGCACGAAAGCGUGGGAGCAAACCGG
rnacentral:rRNA from 1 species